rnacentral:lncRNA from 1 species
GGUAACAAUAAUAAAAUUGUGUUCAUCCAUAUGUAAAUAUUUCAUUUUAAUGCACAUGCUUUUUGUGCUGUAUAUACAUAUGACAUAUUUUUAUGAGUAUUUUCAUUUAACACGUUAUGAUUUUAUUUAUUUUUUAGAACUUAUGCACUUGCCAAAUGAAACUGUUGUCAAUUUAAAAGAGAGAGUAAUUAUAUCACGAAGCCAUAUCUGAUUUUGUUUAGUUAUUUAGAUCGUGCUUUUUGUAGAAAAAUGUCAUGUUUUAACAACACUUUUACGCCCCUGUCUUAUUAGAGAUAAUAAAUGGCAAUCAAAGGCAUUUACUGUUCAGAAUCAUCGUCAAGGUUUUUGAUCACCUGAGAUCGUUCUGUACCCAUGAAUUCGAGAUCUACUAGCUAAAAAGGGCGGAAUGCAAGGAAAAUAUUUUCAUAUUUAUACAGUGAAUAAUGAGUGAAAAUGAAACUAAAUUAAACGUCAGCGGCUUUAUUAUUUUGGUUAGAAAAUGGGGGUUUAAAUCCAUUUUUAACAAACUCAGUGGUCAGAUUGCGCACAAGUUUAAUAAUUGUUUUAAACAAGUCAAAUUGGAUCUUUAAUUUGUACUAAAGGUAGAUACUGGUCUAUAUUAUUUUGUAAAAUGUUGACAUUUCUCUGUCAUUCCAUAAUCCCAGGAUAAAGGGUUGGUUCCAACUAUAUGUUCCCAAUCAAAUGCAUUUAUCGUAAAAAAGGGGGGGGGUCCAACCUGCCUUUUAACAUUACUCAUUCACAAUGGGGGG